rnacentral:rRNA from 1 species
AGAGUUUGAUCCUGGCUCAGGAUGAACGCUAGCUACAGGCUUAACACAUGCAAGUCGAGGGGCAUCAGUUUGGUUUGCUUGCAAACCAAAGCUGGCGACCGGCGCACGGGUGAGUAACACGUAUCCAACCUGCCUCAUACUCGGGGAUAGCCUUUCGAAAGAAAGAUUAAUACAAGAUGGCAUCAUGAGUCCGCAUGUUCACAUGAUUAAAGGUAUUCCGGUAGACGAUGGGGAUGCGUUCCAUUAGAUAGUAGGCGGGGUAACGGCCCACCUAGUCUUCGAUGGAUAGGGGUUCUGAGAGGAAGGUCCCCCACAUUGGAACUGAGACACGGUCCAAACUCCUACGGGAGGCAGCA